UUAUAUUGAAAUACCAGCACAAUGUAUCGUUUACCUUUCGGAGAAAGAGUAGAUCCCAUGGAGGAGAAGCGUCAAGCUCGAGAAAAUACUAUACAUAGCCUGAUCACAUUUUGUGUCCUUUGUGCUGCUAUAAGAGUUGCUCCAUUUAUCUUGGAACAGGGCGGGUUCAACGUGUGAGAGCGGUUACUUUUACGAUGUUAUAUCCAAAGUGAAAGUUUUAGAUGUUAAGUUAAUAAAUUACUGCGGCACAAAUACUAGAAAUAAAUGUAAUAGUUUAGUUUGAGUAAAGUUUCUGCUUUAUUCCAUAGUUGAUGAUUUUCAAUAAUUAAACAAUGUUGUAAUAAAUUA